rnacentral:rRNA from 1 species
GACGAACGCUGGCGGCGUGCUUAACACAUGCAAGUGGAGCGACGAACCGGGCUUGCCCGGGGCAGAGCCGCGAACGGGUGAGUAACACGUGGGUUACCUGCCGUGAUUACUGGGACAACCCGUCGAAAGACGGGCUAAUACCGGAAGUGCCCGCAAGGGGAAAGGAGGGGUCGGCGGGCGCAUCGCGCGGGGCCCGCGGAGCAUUAGCUUGUUGGUGAGGUAACGGCUUACCAAGGCUUCGAUGCCUAGCUGGUCUGAGAGGACGAUCAGCCACACUGGGACUGAGACACGGCCCAGACUCCUACGGGAGGCAGCAGUGGGGAAUCUUGCGCAAUGCGCGAAAGCGUGACGCAGCAACGCCGCGUGCGGGAAGACGGCCUUCGGGUUGUAAACCGCUUUCAGUUGGGACGAAGCUUCUGCGGUUAAUACCCGUAUGGAGUGACGGUACCUUCAGAAAAAGCCCCGGCUAACUACGUGCCAGCAGCCGCCGUAA